rnacentral:misc_RNA from 1 species
AAAUGCAUAUCAAGUCAAUAUGGUCAUUAUAUUUUUUAGAGUAAUUAGUUGUGUCAAGCUAGUAAAUUAUCUUCACAAAAUGCGAGCAUAAUAUAUCAAUGAAUUUUGACCCGGUGAUAAUAAAAGUAUUAAAUUUAAUACCAGAUCAAACUAAUUAUAAAACAAAUAAAUAAAAACCUAAAUCACGUUGGCAAUCCAUUGCCUUUUUUUAUCAU